rnacentral:rRNA from 1 species
GAUGAACGCUAGCUACAGGCUUAACACAUGCAAGUCGAGGGGCAGCAGGAACAAAGCUUGCUUUGUUUGCUGGCGACCGGCGCACGGGUGAGUAACGCGUAUCCGACCUACCCAUAACACGGGCACAGCCGCUCGAAAGAGUGAUUGAUUCCCGAUAUGUUAUAUAAGUAGAUUAUAUAAUGAAAGAUUUAUCGGUUAUGGAUGGGGAUGCGUAAGAUUAGGUAGUAGGCGGGGUAACGGCCCACCUAGCCGACGAUCUUUAGGGGUUCUGAGAGGAAGGUCCCCCACACUGGUACUGAGACACGGACCAGACUCCUACGGGAGGCAGCAGUGAGGAAUAUUGGUCAAUGGGCGGAAGCCUGAACCAGCCAAGUAGCGUGAAGGAUUACAGCCCUACGGGUUUUAAACUUCUUUUAUAUAAGAGUAAUGUGCACUACGUGUAGUGUAUUGCAAGUAUUAUAUGAAUAAGCAUCGGCUAACUCCGUGCCAGCAGCCGCCGUAAGAC